CCUACGGGAGGCAGCAGUGAGGAAUAUUGGUCAAUGGACGAGAGUCUGAACCAGCCAAGUAGCGUGAAGGAUGACUGCCCUAUGGGUUGUAAACUUCUUUUAUAUGGGAAUAAACUGUUCCACGUGUGGGCUUUUGUAUGUACCAUACGAAUAAGGAUCGGCUAACUCCGUGCCAGCAGCCGCGGUAAUACGGAGGAUCCGAGCGUUAUCCGGAUUUAUUGGGUUUAAAGGGAGCGUAGGUGGAUUGUUAAGUCAGUUGUGAAAGUUUGCGGCUCAACCGUAAAAUUGCAGUUGAGACUGGCAGUCUUGAGUACAGUAGAGGUGGGCGGAAUUCGUGGUGUAGCGGUGAAAUGCUUAGAUAUCACGAAGAACACCGAUUGCGAAGGCAGCUCACUGGACUGCAACUGACACUGAGGCUCGAAAGUGUGGGUAUCAAACAGGAUUAGAUACCCCAGUAGUC
rnacentral:rRNA from 1 species